CCUGCCCCUAGAGGCAUUGCAGGUAUGGGUGCUGUAUCACAUUGCGUCAGUAGGUGGCAGAGAGGAGAGAGGUUAUAUUGAUGCUAGGUGUUCUGAACUGUGAGCAUCUGAAUGAUUGGUAGCCUAACAUU